UAGAAUCAAUUUUGCCUUGGUUUUCGCAUC
rnacentral:sRNA from 1 species